UCUUUUUAAAUGUGAGCAAAAUCAUCACAAUUAAAAGACCCAACGGCUUAAUUUAUUGAGAUGCACCUGUACAUGCAAGUGAAGGUCUGACUGAAGAACACUGCUAUUCAGCUGCCACACAGCAUUGCAAGCUAUAAUGUAUACGUAGCCAAUGGAGAAUACAAAUAAUGAUCAAACAUCAAAAUUUUUAUAAAUUUGGCGUAAACCACCAGUUGUAUUGAAUGAUCUGCGAUAUAUUGCUGAACUGAGAGUGGAGGACAGUUUUAUCCACAUGUCAGCAUGUAAAUGUACCAUUACUAUGUGUUGAUUUCAGUGUGUUAUACCACUGGUUGGCCAGUGCUGGAAGACCUGCAUAGUAAUAAGAACAACAUCAACAAAAAUAAAUUUAGUAAAAACUGUGAUGUUGAUCUCUGACAAGACCAGGCAAGUGUUGUAGUGUUUGUUUCUGCUGGAGUGUAGAAGUAAUGGUGCUGAGGCAAGCAGAGAGAUGGGAAGAAUGUAGGAAAAUUGGACACUGCUAAUAAACCUGAAACUAUGCAUUCCACAACCUUUUUUGAUGCCAUGGAUGGAACAUUUUGGGACCGCUGUUGGAGAAAUUAGAAUAAGGCAGCAAUGCAGUGGAUGAACCUUACUACUGAUGGGACGUCCUGUUUCCAGCCCUGUCCUGCAAGUGUGAAGGAACCCUCAGAAGGAUGUGCAGGAUGAGCGAAUCAUAAUCGCCAUGAGUCAUGAAUGCACAUGCGUGUUGUGGUGCUGUUGUUUGUGCUUCAGCAUGGCUGUCGUCAUCCGUUUACAGGGACUGAGAGUCACAGCAGGUACUGAGGAUAUUCGGAAGCUCUUCACUGGCCUCAAAAUUCCGGAUGGAGGUGUGCAUAUAAUUGGUGGGGAGCGAGAGGAAGCGUUCAUUAUCUUUGCUUCAGAUGAAGAUGCAAGAAGAGCCAUGACGCGGUCAGGGGGCUGUAUUAAGGGUUCACCUGUUACAUUGCUACUGAGUAGUAAAGCAGAGAUGCAGAAUAUGCUUGAAAGAAGUACAAAAAAUGUUGAGCUGGAUCAAAAGAGGCAUUUUAAGGAAAUUGCAAGAGGUGCUAGAAGAUCUCUGCACCCUGAGGCAGGCAGGGGAUCAGGUAGCAUAUCGUAUCACACUAAUGAUGACUUCUUUGGUGUGUUUCUCAAAGGAAUGCCUUUCUCUGUGACUGAAAAGGAUGUACGUGAUUUUUUCAGUGGUUUAUCAGUUGAUGACAUAAUCUUGAGGAAAAAUAAACAUGGUGCAAAUAAUGGGACAGGUCUUGUCAAAUUUCAAACAAGAGAGGAUGUAAUUGAAGCCCUGAAAAGGGAUAGGAGAUACAUUGGGUCAAGGUAUGUUGAGAUUUCCACGACAACAGCAGAUGAUUGGCAUCGGGUUGCUAGUAGAGUGCCGAUUGUCAGCAGGGACAACAGCUUUAAAAGGGAGAGGUCACCUCUGCGCAAUACAAGGAAUCCACAACAUGUGAGGUCACAGUCGCCUUUGGCCCAGAGGUCCAUGCCUCAUUCUGAUGAAGAGUACUGUGUUUUGUUGGACAAUCUAUCCUAUGCUGUGGAAAAAGAAGACAUAAAAAGGCUUUUUUUAUCCGCAAAGCUUCAGGACGACCAGAUCCUGCACUUAAUUGGCAGGGAUGGGAAAAGAACCAGGUCUGCAUUUGUGCUGUUCAAGAGUCUCCAUGACUAUUGCGAUGCCUUGGCUGCUGAAAAAAAACAAUUUUUCAACCGAUUGCUUUAUGUCCGCCCAAUCUCAAGAGAGAACAUGAUCAUCCUUCUGGAGUCUCAGAGUACGGAUGUCCGAACACCUCAAAAUUCUAAAGGGUUUCAGGACGGGCCUCCAUCUUACCCCAGUGAUCUUUACGACUCUGGGAAAACUUGUCUGUCUGUGUGGAACCUGCCAUUUGAUGUACGGAAAGUUGAGAUCAUGGACUUCUUCUGUGGGUUUAAUAUCACUGAGGACAAGGUGUUCUUGUUGCGUGACCAUGAAGGUGCUGGGGUUGGAAAGGCUUUGGUUCUCUUUCAGUCUGAGGCAGAGGCUAUGGGGGCACUCUCUCUCAGUGGACGACGGUUUCUUGGGUCUGAAGUGAUACUGAAAUGCAUUUCACGUUCUGAGAUUCAGCAGUUGGUUAAUGAGUCAACAAUGGGCCAAGAGCCAGCUGAGCAGGCAUCACUGUCACGAGAGGAGAGGUACUUUGGCAGCAGCAGUGGGGCAUCCUAUCACCCUGGUGACACUGAGUACUCAGACUUAAGGAUUUCUCAUGACUGCAAUACACCAGUAAUUGGUAUUAAGAAAAAUGCCCAUGGAGCCCGUGGGUAUAAACCUUAUGGAAUAGACCCUUGUGCUUCACACGACAGGGGUAAUGGCGUUCAUGGCAGUUUUGGUGGCUCAGUGCAGCAUUUUGAUGGUGUCACCUGUGUAAAAUUGGUCAACUUACCAUUCCAAAUCAGAAAUGAAGAAAUCUAUGAUUUCUUCUAUGGAUAUUGCAUUAUCCCAGGAUCUGUCACACUGCAGUAUGACCAGGGUGGUAAACCUAAAGGCUCUGCAACUGUAGUAUUUGAGUCUCACCAGGAGGCAAUGACAGCUAUUGCAGAACUGAGUGGAAGAGCAAUAGGCCCAAGAAAAAUACAGCUACUCCUUGUGUGAAACUGACAUUGGUUUUCAUGGUACCUAAGGUACCCUAGCAGUGUGGUUUGGAUGCAGUGUUGAUUGAAACAAAGUUUAUUUAAGGGAAGCAACUGCCUUUUCCUUCUUUCUGAUUAUUGAAUACAGUGAUUUUAGUUAUAGUUUUUUUUAUCUAACUACAUUUCAUCUUACUGUGAUGAGACAAUAUAGUUUGUUUUGUAUACAGUGGAAUUGUUUGUUUUUCCCAUUGAAAUGUUUUUGUUUAAUUCAUCUUGCAGCACUGAAAAAUGUAUGUACAUUUAUUUCACAGUGUGUUUGUAUUGGUGUAUAAAGUUGAAACCGUUGUUUUAGAAAAGCAUCUUUAAACUGUCAGUUUUUCUACACAGAUCACAGAGUACAAACAAGUGCUGACAUAAACCUGUAAAUAAAGUGCUGUUUAACCACCAGUUAAAAGAAAUCCAUUACUGACUGAACUACACUUGAGUGCUUUUAUGUGUUCAUGAUUGAAUAAUAAGUUGGGGUAUAUACACUAUGUUUUUAUAAAAAGGCUUUUAAAAUAAGAGCAGUAGGGGGAUGAAGGCUGACCACUUUGAAAAAAUGUGUUUCUAAUGGCAGGCUAAUCUCACUUCCUCACAUAGGAAAAUGCUUCAAAGCCAGCAGCAGGUGUAGCAUUCAUCUGGCCUGACUGAAAAUCAAAUUUAGACCAGGACAUGUAUCAUUAUUUCUCACGUUUGGCUGUAGAACAGAGGUUUAAAAUGUCAUACCAAAUUGUACACAUUCCCAAUUUCAGUUUCAUUGUAGCAGCCCCUGAUAAAUCAACACCACUUGGAUUUAAAAACAACAAGCUUUAAAAAAUUCACUCCACACCAGAUACCUCAGCUCUCUGCUGAAAAGCUGUAUAUAAAGUUAUAUCACCAUCAUGAAGCUACUAUUUGUUGCAGGACUUUUUCAUCAAACUAGUUUUGGCUAGUCGUGGUUUAUAGCAGUUUAUUAAGUACAAGUCUGCAUAUUUGGCAGCGGUUGUAAGAUAUCCUAUAUGGUCUGAAUUUGCAUGCUCCAAAAUAAUUUUAUUUUGUAACGUCUCUACCGGAAAUGGUUUAGCUUGGAGCAGCAGGACAGGUGAGGUGAAAUCCGGUAGUCAGAAAGCUACGCUGAAGGAAAUCAUUAACUUUGCAGUCGGUGACUUUGGUCCACCCCACGCCCUCUAGCGGUUUGCAAGCCCCACUUUGGAAAGAACAGAAAAAAUGGAGGUAUCAAGGAGAAGAAUCCUCCAAAAGCACCUGGAGCCAGCAAGACCUCUGCGCCGCUUCAUCCAUACUCAGAUUGAGCCCAAAAUAAAUGGUGCUACAUGUGCACAGGCACUGAUGAAUGAAGUGGAUCAAGAGAGAGAUCCUGGCCACAUAGGGCUUCAUGAAAUGAUGUGGAACGGUGGGAAAAAAGAAAUAUGAUUGUUUUUGGUUUUCUGGCCCAUGACUCCACUUUUAUCCUUGUAUGCAGUCUCAGCCAGCAGCUGUUUUCAGUGAAAAAGCUGUAGUAAACCCACAGUAUGUUACCUGCCCAGUCCCGAAGAGAUUACUAAAGGUUGCAAAUAGCUGGUGAACAUAGUGGAGCAAUAAGUAGCUAAAGAGAUAAUUUUUCUGUCAUGGUUUGUGGUAAACUAAAACAGAGCUUACGAGGGGAUGAAUAGUGGACUUGUAUCCAUCAAGUGGAGUGAUCACUGUCAUGGUGCUGUGUAGCUGUUGUGUAACUAGUUGGUUAAAACACAUACACAAAUAAAAAAUUAAAUGAAGCUUUAAUGGUGCAGUAUCAAACCAUGUAUUUUAAUUUCCACAUACAUUUCACAUUUUACCCUUCAUUAUGAGCCAAUAUGUCCAUGUUAAAGCUUUUUCUUUCACCUUUUUAUUAAGCAGAGUCAUGACAUAUCCUUAUUUCUACAUCGUAUUUUCUCAGGUUAAGCAAACAGUGGCUGACUCAGUUGGUUUCAUCAGAGUCCUAACUGCCAUUCUGUCAGUCUCACUAACAGACUCUACUUAGACUCAAUGAAUUAUGAGCGUUGACUCGUCCUCCCAAAUCAAGGAGUAUGGUAUCAUCAUAAAUGAGAGUGAAGGCGAGUCACAAGGUCACCAGUUUGGGGUGAAUAUUCAGUUAAGAUCUUGUACACCGUUCUCACAGAAAUACUUGAAUUUACUUAUGGAACAAAUCAGCUAUGUCUGGAAAGGAGCAUGAGGAGUAAUUUCUGGCCGAUCACUCCAGAAACACUGGCCUGAGCUGUUAUUUUGAUGAGUCUGAGGAUUAGAGUCUUACAUAAACUUAACAGAAUUCUUUUUUUUCUUGCCUUCCAUAGACAUUAAUGUUAGUUAUGACUUUAGGCUUUCAGGACAGAGUGGCUUGGACUUCAUCCAUCACUUUUCUGCUGCUUAUCUGCACAGGGUAUGAGACAAUGGGCAUUCAUUACAAUAUUACAAAUAGCUUUAAUUCUUACACUUAAUUGAUCUACACUACAAAAACCCUGAAAAAUGAAAUGUUAUGAGGCUGCCUGGAAUCAUUUGGUAACGGGGGAUAUUUUCAUGACGUCCUGUGGUUUCCUCUGGUGAAAUAAGCAGCUGUGGUAACCGCACAUCUUCUUUGGUACGUGACCGAGGCGCAGUAGCCUACAUCCCAUGAGUAUGCUUUCAGGUUAGCUGGACACUUGUGACGUGCUGGACGUCACGUCAGGGGGGCGGGGCCUUCAGUGUUCACCGUGUCGAUGUUAGACGGCAAAAUUAAUUUGUUAGGAACAGAGGAGCAGCGAGUGUAAAGGGCUUCGUUCCAAAGGCAAGUAUGUAGCUCAUCUGUUUGUAUUGUAUUGUAUUGUAUUGUAGCUUUUUGGCUUUGACUGUCACGUGGGCUUAUCUUGACAAUGGAGUUCAUUGUCUCUUUUUUUCCCCGCUGUAAGUGAUAAAGUGCUUUAUGUAACGCGGUGCUGUACUAUGAGGUGUUCAUAAUAUGUCUAGGUAUUAAUUAUGCGACUCUGAAUUGUAUUGAGUUUUACAUUAAACCAAUUCCGCACCGCAUUAAGCAUUCAUUCCAUAGUAAAUGCAGCUUAAUAACAUUCCGAUGUGUUCGAAGGUGGUGGUCAGUGAAUUGUUUUCGGACGCGGCUGUUUGCGGGAAGAUGGAUUCAAAGGUUGACCAAAGAAGCCUGUCAUGCA